CCCACGAUGGGAAGAGGGGAAGCCCAGGGGUACAGGAGGCCUCUGGGUGAAGGCAGAGGCUAACAUGGGGUUCGGAGCGACCUUGGCCGUUGGCCUGACCAUCUUUGUGCUGUCUGUCGUCACUAUCAUCAUCUGCUUCACCUGCUCCUGCUGCUGCCUUUACAAGACGUGCCGCCGACCACGUCGUAAGCGUGCCCACCCUGCCCCACUGUGACCCCCUGGGGUGGUAAGGGGAGCUGACCAGGCCCUGCUUUGGCUAAGCUGGAGGGAUGGGUGGCAAGCCUGGCCCUCAAGACCUGGGGAGAUGGAGGAGGGUCCUGACUGGAAUUCUCUUUGCAGCGGUUGUCACCACCACCACAUCCACCACUGUGGUGCAUGCCCCUUAUCCUCAGCCUCCAAGUGUGCCGCCCAGCUACCCUGGACCAAGCUACCAGGGCUACCACACCAUGCCGCCUCAGCCAGGGAUGCCAGCAGCACCCUACCCAAUGCAGUACCCACCACCUUACCCAGCCCAGCCCAUGGGCCCACCGGCCUACCACGAGACCCUGGCUGGAGGAGCAGCCGCACCCUACCCCGCCAGCCAGCCUCCUUACAACCCGGCCUACAUGGAUGCCCCGAAGGCGGCCCUCUGAGCAUUCCCUGGCCUCUCUGUAUGCCACUUGGUUAUGUUGUGUGUGUGUGUGAGUGGUGUGCAGGCGCGGUUCCUUACGCCCCAUGUGUGCUGUGUGUGUCCAGGCACGGUUCCUUACGCCCCAUGUGUGCUGUGUGUGUCCUGCCUGUAUAUGUGGCUUCCUCUGAUGCUGACAAGGUGGGGAACAAUCCUUGCCAGAGUGGGCUGGGACCAGACUUUGUUCUCUUCCUCACCUGAAAUUAUGCUUCCUAAAAUCUCAAGCCAAACUCAAAGAAUGGGGUGGUGGGGGGCACCCUGUGAGGUGGCCCCUGAGAGGUGGGGGCCUCUCCAGGGCACAUCU
rnacentral:sRNA from 1 species